CUGCAACAUCAUGACCUGAGCUGAAGUGGGCCGCUCUGUGACUGAGCCACCCAGGAGCCCCCACGAUCUCUGCAUUACUAUCCUUCCUGCAAUCAUCCCGAGACAAGUCCCUCAGUCAUUUUUCCGUUUCGUUGUUCUGGCCUCGGACACAGUAAACCCUCUUGAUUGGAAUCCACUGCAGAGAACUCCGAGGGGUGCCCAUUGUCCACAGGACGGGAUCUUCUUCCCGGGCCUCCUGGUCCACAAAGGGCACACAGCAUGCAUCACACACCAGCCUGUGUCUGGGUCCAACCACGCUGGCCACUCCCGUGCCUGUGCCUCCUGGAGCUCGGCAUCUUCCCCUCGCAUCAAAGGCAGCGACGGGGAACCUGGGUGGGCUUCUGUCGCUUAAGCGUUCCACUCUCGGCUGUGCUCAGGCCAUCAUCACAGUGUUGGUAGUCGCAGCCCUGCACGGGGCUCUGUACUGACAGCAGAGUGGGCUCGGGCUCUCUCUAUGCCCCUCCCUGACUCACACUGUCCCUUUCUCUGAAAGUAAGCAUGUACUCAAGUUUCUUUCAACUUGAAACGAAAUCAUAUAAAAUAAAGUCACUGGCCUUGGCUCUGUCACAAAGGUGUAA